UCCCUGGUGGUCCAGUGGCUGAGACUUUGUAUUCCCAAUUCUGGGGGCCUAGGUUCAAUCCCUGGUUGGGGAA
rnacentral:tRNA from 1 species